CAGCCGCCGCGGUAAGACAGAGGAUGCAAACGUUAUCCGGAAUGAUUGGGCGUAAAGCGUCUGUAGGUGGCUUUUCAAGUCCGCCGUCAAAUCCCAGGGCUCAACCCUGGAUAGGCGGUGGAAACUACCAAGCUGGAGUAUGGUAGGGGCAGAGGGAAUUUCUGGUGGGGCGGUGAAAUGCGUUGAGAUCGGAAAGAACACCAACGGCGAAAGCACUCUGCUGGGCCGACACUGACACUGAGAGACGAAAGCUAGGGGAGCAAAUGGGAUUAGAUACCCCCGUAGUCCCUGUCUCUUAUAC
rnacentral:rRNA from 1 species